rnacentral:rRNA from 1 species
GCUUUUGCUUGGUGUACUUCUUGAUCGAUGGGUCAGCAUCAGUUUGGGCGGUUGGAUAAAGGUCUCUGUCACGUACCUCCUCUCGGGGAGGCCUUAUAGGGGAGACGACAUGCAACCAGCCUGGACUGAGGUCCGCGCAUCUGCUAGGAUGCUGGCGUAAUGGCUGUAAGCGG